rnacentral:tRNA from 1 species
GGCGGUGCAGGUGGCGGUGGGUCUGGCGCCGCUCAAGGCGGUGCAGGCCCGGCUGGCGGCGAUCCGCGCCGGCACCGCCG